rnacentral:snRNA from 1 species
UAUCAGUGUCUCCUCACCAUUACGAAAUAAUCUUUCGCCUUUUACUAAAGAUUACCGUGGGGAGGGGCACUCUAAUGAGCCUAUAGGCCAAUUUUGAAAGGCCUUUACUAUUUGGUAGAGG